rnacentral:rRNA from 1 species
CAGCAGCCGCGGUAAUACGAAGGGGGCUAGCGUUGUUCGGAAUUACUGGGCGUAAAGCGCACGCAGGCGGCUCGAUAAAUUAGAAGUGAAAGCCUUGGGCUUAACCUGAGAAUUGCUUUUAAGACUGUCGAGCUAGAAUCCAGAAGAGGGUAGUGGAAUUCCGAGUGUAGAGGUGAAAUUCGUAGAUAUUCGGAAGAACACCAGUGGCGAAGGCAACUACCUGGUCUGGCGUUGACGCUCAUGUGCGAAAGCGUGGGGAGCAAACAGGAUUAGAUACCCCUGAAGUCCCUGUCUCUUAUAC